rnacentral:tRNA from 1 species
GAGCGUGUAGCUCAGUUGGUAGAGCGUUCGCUUAGCAUGCCUUUACCACCUGCGAAAGGUCUUGGGUUCGAUUCCCAACUCGUCCA